AACGAACGCUGGCGGCGUGCCUAACACAUGCAAGUCGUGCGAGAAAGUUCCUUCGGGAGCGAGUAAAGCGGCGCACGGGUGAGUAACACGUAGGUAACCUGCCCCCCAGUCUGGAACAACUAGAGGAAACUCUAGCUAAUGCCGGAUGAGACCACGAUCCCUUCGGGGUUGCGGCCAAAGAUGGCCUCUACUUGUAAGCUAUCGCUGAGGGAUGGGCCUGCGGGCCAUUAGCUUGUUGGUGAGGUAACGGCUCACCAAAGGCUGUGAUGGCUAGCUGGUCUGAGAGGAUGACCAGCCACACUGGGACUGAGACACGGCCCAGACUCCUACGGGAGGCAGCAGUGGGAAUAUUGCGCAAUGGGCGAAAGCCUGACGCAGCGACGCCGCGUGGGUGGAUGAAGGCCUUCGGUCGGUAAGGACCUCGUCG
rnacentral:rRNA from 1 species